GGAGGCUGGGUGGUUUUGCAGUCUAUCUGCAGUGUGAAGGCCUUCCUCUGCACUUUAUAUAGGGGCCCUCCUUUUUUCGGUUUUUUUUGUUUGUUUGUUUUUUGAGACAGGGUCUCCCUAUGUAGUUCAGGCUGCUCUUAAACUCACUGUGGAGCCCAGGCUGGCCUUGAACUCGAAUCAAUCCUCCUGCCUCAGGCCCCUGUCUGCUGCAAUUACAGGCGUGCACCACCAAGCCUGGCUUCACCUCAGCCUUUAAGCCAACUAGUAUAUCUCAACACAACUGCCGUCCCCUCCCACAGCUGGACAUCCUCUGGCCAUCUUCCUUUUCUGCUUCCUCCUCCUCCUUUUGUGUAUGUGUGUGGUGGGGGAUAAUGGAGACUGGACACAGGGAACUUGUGAUCCUCCUGCCUCAGCCUCCCAAGUAGCUAGGGUUACAGGGAUGUGUCACCACACUGGCCCCAGUUCACUUCUAACACACACACAUCAUUCCUCGAAUAGCCAGACUGAGCCCAGAGAGGGAAGGGACGCAGUAAACUGCUCUGGAAGGCCCAGCCCAGGACCCACAGGGGACACACCUCCCCUGGGUUCCACAGUCCGGGAUGCAGGGGCUGAGCUUGUGCUGAGUGGCUGUACUGGAUCUUUGUGUGGAUUCGCUGCAUGGGGAGACAGCGGCUACAGCACAGGGGUGGGACAGGGCUGGAGGCACAAGGCUGGUUGGAUCCCAGACUUACUCUUGUAGGUGGUUCCGUGUCAGUGGGCGCUGCCCUGUGCAGGUCCUUCGUGGCCUACUUCCCGGACCAACCGUGGACCGACUUGGGGUGGGUCCUGCUGGAAACAGGCAGGCGCAGGAACCACUGAGCUACAUCCCUGGCCCAGGAUCUUGGUAUGUAGUCUAGGCUGGCCUUGAACUUGCCUCCAUCCUCCUGCCUCAGCCUCCCAAGUGCUGGGAUUACAGGUGAGUUCCGUCACACCUGGCUUCAAGGGUGCAUUUUACCUUAAAUUCUACCUUUACCUCUCAACUGCUCUUUCCAAGGAAAGGAAAUAAACAAUAAGGACAUUAUGCUAUGUACUUUUUCCACAGUCUCUCAUUUAAUAAUCACAACAGGGGCC
rnacentral:lncRNA from 1 species